rnacentral:rRNA from 1 species
GAUGAACGCUGGCUACAGGCUUAACACAUGCAAGUCGAGGGGAAACGACGGGGAAGCUUGCUUCCCCGGGCGUCGACCGGCGCACGGGUGAGUAACGCGUAUCCAACCUGCCUCUGACUGAGGGAUAACCCGUCGAAAGUCGGCCUAAUACCUCACGUCAUCGUCUGCGGGCAUCCAACGACGAUUAAAGAUUUCAUCGGUCAUGGAUGGGGAUGCGUCUGAUUAGCUUGUUGGCGGGGUAACGGCCCACCAAGGCUACGAUCAGUAGGGGUUCUGAGAGGAAGGUCCCCCACAUUGGAACUGAGACACGGUCCAAACUCCUACGGGAGGCAGCAGUGAGGAAUAUUGGUCAAUGGGCGGUAGCCUGAACCAGCCAAGUAGCGUGCAGGAUGACGGCCCUAUGGGUUGUAAACUGCUUUUAUGCGGGGAUAAAGUGAGGGACGUGUCCUUCAUUGCAGGUACCGCAUGAAUAAGGACCGGCUAAUUCCGUG